GGGAAACUUUGUCUUACCAUUAGUGUUUCCUUGGAGAACUGUCCUCUGACACACAAGUUGAACUAGCGGCAUCAAGAAACUAACCUGUGAUGUCCAGAAGGGUAAAGAGUUUGCAUCCCUAGAGACUAUCGCAGAACUCAACACCUGCCAGAAGCUUGAAAAUGCCCAUUAAAGAAAGGAACACAAUGCGAAAUUUGGAUUUUUCCCUCUGAACAGAAAUACUUUGAAAUCAUCAAACACGCAAGAACACGCCAAAAAGGCCUGGUGACGCCACUCUGCAGCGUCGCCUUCCGGCGUACCAUUUCCGGCGCCCAGCUG
rnacentral:lncRNA from 1 species